UACCUUACCUGUCGCUUCUGCCUUAUCUGUCGCUUUGGGGUCCUAGCUGCGUUGCCCUGGUAACAACUGUAAACAAACGGCUGCAGUUAACUGCUCCGCUCCCUGACAGGAUUUUUCAUUCAUUCGUGCCAAUGAAACAGGAGGCCUCGAUUCGUGCAGAAGAUAAGGUUUGAAACCCAGACAGCACGAAGCAUCUUGCCGACGUCAAAAUCAGAUCAACAGACUGGGACAUCAGCCUUCUCUUGGGAAUAGGCCAGAUAUGCCAUAACAAGAAAUGGUGUUUUGCCCCUGCGGUUGUGAAGAGGAUGCUGUGGAGGUGGCAGCAUGAACGUGUCACACAGACAUUGGCUAAACUACUCGGCUUCUACACUUGCCCUCAGAGUUCACAUAUGGUGACGUGCACAGGUGUCCAGUCAGGUUCAGACUGAUGCUGGUAACAAGAGGAGAACAUGCUAAUUGAUGCUGUGUUGCUGCCAGUCCACGGAUGUACACGAAUGGCUCACCUGGAGGAGGAGGGCGGUCAACGACAUUACUCAAGUAUUGACAACAAAUGUGCUCUACGAUGACAUUUCCAGCAUGUCCAACUCAUCAGCAUCAGGGGAGAUUCAGUGGAGGUGGUGCACCAUCCAGGACCAGUCAUGGGCCACCAAAACCUCUGCAAAAUCUACACUUCUUGUGAACCCUGUAGAAGACACUACAACCACAAAACUGCUAAUAAACCAUCACAUACUGCGUCA